UGUCAGACUUUGUAUUCUUUUUCCUUCUAUACUUUAACAUUAUAUAAUGAACAAUAGGUUACUAUGAAGACUGAAGGACAUUUACCAGCACUAUCUGACCCAAGAUGUUACCGGACUCUUCGGUCGUUGCUAAAAUGUCGCACGUUGCCACAGAUCCUUAACCUUCUUAACCCUAACCACGUACCGCCGUCCUCCAUUUUUCCCCUAUUUUGUUUUGUCUUUGCGCCUAGAUGGAUCGUCAGUGACCCAUUGUCAUCGGUAUAAGCGAGCCAAUCCAAAGCCGAAAUCCGAAUUGAAAUCCAUCCAGUGUAGCCCGCCAUCUUGGACGGCUUUCUGAGUAUUUCGUGAUUUCGCCAUGUGGUUUGGCUUAUCAAAAUUUUCAAAGUUUAAGCGAAAAGGUUAGCAAGAAGCAGCAAAAAUGCAAGUCUCAAGCACAAACGACGUCAAAAUCUACAACCUCAGUGCCGGCAGGUCGCUGCCGGAAUGGCUCUCGGAUCGGAAGAAGCGCCUGCUCGCCAAGAAGCAUUCGGAGAUCCGGCAUCGCAUCGAACUCAUCCAAGACUUCGAGAUGCCCACGGUCAGCACGAACGUCCGAAUGUCCAAAGACGGACAGUACGUGCUCGCCACGGGUAUCUACAAACCCCGUGUCCGCUGCUUCGAGGUGUCCCAGCUCUCGAUGAAGUUCGAGCGGUGCUUCGACUCUGAAGUCGUGUGCUUCGAGUGCCUGAGCGACGACUACGCCAAGAUGGUGUUCCUCCAGUGCGACCGGUACGUCGAGUUUCACGCGGCCUACGGUCGCUACCACCGCAUCCGAAUCCCCAGGUUCGGUCGGGACAUGGCUUACCUGUCGGCGGCCUGCGAACUGUUCUUCGCGUGCGACGGUCCCCAGGUCUACCGGCUCAACCUCGAUCAGGGCCGCUUCCUGAACCCCGUCGUUACAGAAGCCACGGCCGUUAACGCUUGUAGGGUUAACGCGUACCACAACCUCGUCGUUUUGGGCACCGAAGAAGGCAAGGUCGAGGCGUACGAUCCGCGUUCCCGCAACCGCGUCGGGGUCCUAGAGUGCGCCCUCAACAGUGUCACCGAGAACUCCGAGAUCCACGGCAUGCCGUCAGUGACCUCCUUGUGCUUCAGAGACGCGCUUAUGUUAGGCGUCGGCACGGCCACGGGUCAGGUCUUGCUGUUCGACAUCCGCUCGGACAAACCAGUCCUGGUCAAAGAUCACUUCUACGGUCUGCCGGUGAAAAAGGUCGCGUUCCACGGUGGCGACGCGGACGUGGUCCUCAGCAUGGAUUGUAAGGUCGUCAAGAUCUGGGAACGAUUGUCCGGAAAGGCAUUCACUUCGGUCACACCCGCCGUGGACCUCAACGACCUGUGCGUCGUCGGCAAUUCUGGCCUCUUCUUUGUGGCAAACGAGGACAAGAAGAUUCUCGCGUACUAUGUUCCGAGCCUCGGCCCGGCUCCCAAGUGGUGCUCGUUCCUGGACAACCUGACAGAAGAACUGGAGGAGACGCAGCAGGACGCAGUGUAUGACGAUUACAAGUUUGUUACGAGGCGCGAGCUGGAGGAACUUGGACUGGGACACCUGAUCGGCACGAACCUGCUGCGCGCAUACAUGCACGGCUACUUCCUGGACAUCCGGCUGUUCCAUAAAGCGAAGUCGCUGGUUCAGCCAUUUGCGUACGAGGACUACAGACGCCGGAAGAUCCGCGAGACCAUCGAUGCGACGAGGGUCAAUCGCGUCACAAGCGGCAUCAAGCUACCCGCUGUCAACCGGGAGCUUGCUCGUAAGUUGCAGGAGGCGGCCGAAGACGGCGAGCCGGACGGCAAGGCGAAGUCUAAGCCGGUGUCUGGGUCGGGUCUUCUUGAAGACACCCGGUUCAAGGCCAUCUUCGAGAACCCCGACUUUGAAGUGGAUCCGGCGAGUGAUGAGUACCGUCUGCUCCAGCCGGUCGUGACAAGCCUGGAGAAGCGGACAAAGAAGAAGGCAGACAAGAUGGCGGCCUCCGCGGCAGCCAUUGACAUGGACCUGUUUACGCCGGUGGACGACGGAGUGGCACGUGGUGCGUCCAGCGACGAGGACAGUUCGGAUGAUGACCGGACAUGGACAAAGGAGGUUAAGAAGCAGCACAAGAUCAUCCGGCAGAAAGAGAGGACAGAAAUUGUGGCUCCCAGCGCUGGUCCGAAGAUGUACGAGUUGAAGAGUGGCGUGGAGUUGACGGGUCCGCGGAGCGAGUCUAUUAAGAGGGAGAAAAUGUCGCGGAAGUUAACCUUGGGUCAAAGGCUCGAGAGGGAACGGACUGGGGUUGGGUCGGCAGGGGCAGGAGGCAACAGGUCGAUGACGUUCGAGUUGAAGAAGACGCCAAUGGAAAGGAAGCGUGAGGAGGCAGAGAAGAGACACAUGCAGGAGAGGAGGAAAGGUCGGAGGUCGGCCAAAGGGCUCAAAAUGGCGGCUGUUGCGAAGCCGGCGCCAUUUUGAGAGGCAGUGGCAGCGAUGCUGGGUCACCGAGUACGACGGCCAAGCGGUAUGGUGACGACUACACCCUGAAUGGCACCAAGGCUUUUAUCAGCGGAUUAAGGCCCCUUACGACAGAUGGGGGAGCAGCGACCUCUACGUCACGAUGGUCCGGACGGGCGGUCAGGGACCCAAGGGAAUCUCGACGGUGGUCGUGGAGAAAGGGACACCGGGACCCAGCUUCGGCAAAAAGGAGAAGAUGCAGAGAGAAACAAAGAACCACCUCGUCGUUGGAAACUGCAGUUUCAGAAUGCACAAUCCUUGCAUACUCCGUGCUCUCUGGACACCUCAUGCUCAUAAGUUUGGAGAACUUCCCUUCUCUCUACUGGAUGGUUCCCUGAGAGAGCCGUGCCAUGUGCAGGUAGUGUCACGUAUGAAAUGGACCUUUCUGGAAAGUAGCGCGCGCCCCCUAGCGGCGCGCGAGGCAUUACGGGAAGAGCGAGGGUUGCUGCUUCGUCGUCUGCCGCUACCGCCGUACCGCCCGCAAAAAUUAUGUUGGUAUAUGUUCGCGUGGGUUCCCCGUGUACGGCAAACGGCAAUUUUUGCAGUGCCCUGUGCCGCCCUGCGCUCGAUGACGUUCUAGUCAAACAUAUUCUCGUAGCUGCGAGUGUUUUUUAUUCCAAACAAUGGCAGGGCUUGUGUUUUUUUGUUGGUUUUUUUUUGCUACGGGAAUCAGUUAAGCUAGUCGGUGCAUUUUAUUUUCCUUUGCUAAAAAAAACAAACAAACAAACUAUGCAGCUCAUUUGAACAAUGUUGAAGACAGUUAGCUCGCCUAGGUGCAUGAAUAGAUUAAGAAUGGUGCCGCAGUUCGGACGGUAGCAUGUGCCACCUAGCAUGCAAAAACUAGACUAGGCUAGACUUGGCCUGGCUAAAAGGCACGACACCCUCGCAGUUCCCAUGAUGCCCUGGAGCUCUCGGUGGUGGAGCUGGCGUUUCCAGAAAGGUCCAUUUUCUGCCUUCCAGAAAAUGGUUACGAAAGUCGGCAUUAUUGCAGAUCUCGAGAAUAGGGUGCACCACCUUCCUGCUAGUGAAAUGCGGGACAUACAGGAGGGGGAAGGGGGGGGGGGGGGGGGGGGGAGAGAGGACAUUUAUGAACACAAACACAAAGAGCCGAGGCUCUGUUUACAUCUUUAAUAUCAUGUGCUGUUUAUAUACCUGCAGAUCGUAUUGCAGCAAUUAGGCUAAAUUAAUUUGCGCUAUCGGUGAUAUAUUUAUGUCAAUAAUGUUAUUAAAUGUGUCGAAGUUGAAAGCAAAAAAAAAUAUAUCAACUGCAGCAGAACUCAAUGCAUAUAAUGAAAUUAAGAAACAGUAAAUCUUAUCACGUUAUUGUUUCCUGUCAACGCUUACUUUUAUCAACAUGGUCCUAGACAAAUUUUUAACAUUGUCUUUUUUCGACCGUUGUAAGUUGCAUGCUUUUUGCCUUGUGUGACUGUCUUCCCUAAAGAAAUAUCGACGCCAACCCUUCUGCAAUGACACAACGAUUUGUAAAUAAUUACAAUAUUUUAUAUUUAAACGUUUAACGAGCAAUCUUUCUUACAGUAUGUUGCCACCAAGGGGAGAGGUACAAAGGAGCAUGCGCGUCAGUUCUCCUGCAAGAACGACGGUCGCUUCCCGCAAUAUGAUUGGAUAGAAAAUGGCGUACCACUUGGAUUCACACGAUUACCAGCGACCUCCGCGCGUCCUCUUGACCCGCUAUAUGGCAGCACCGUGAUUUGCAAAGUGAGUUUUACGACAGUAUAAAAUGCGGGCCAUUUUGAAGAUUUUGGAAUUUCUUGCGGGAUGCGAAACACGAGCCCUCAAUGCGGGACAGUCCCGAGAGACGCGGGACGGGUGGUCACCCUACUCGAGAAGCAUCAUUACUUGUCUUUAUUUAAACUUUUGUACCCGAUUAAAAUUUUUCUGGAGCCACAUACUAUUUUUACUUUGCAUUGUGUGCUGUACAGGGGGUUUCAUGUUUAUCGGUUUAAACCGAUAAACCUAUAUGCCAAAUUUAUUGUUCAGAAUUCAACAAGGUCGGUGUUUUAGUCGUAUGGCACAGAAAAUGGACAUUCGGGGAGAGGUGUUACAUAUUCAACAAUAAACAGAUUUUGGGGGGUUAAAUUUUCUGCUUUGUGAUCAGAUUUUGCAUACUUAGUUUGCUAUUUUUUGAAGGUGGAGUUUGGAUUGUUUUUAUUUGCGGAAACGUCCCAGUACUUCACAACAUACGAAGGUAUUCACAAAGUAACGCUGCAACCAGUUUUAAUAUCGGAGAUGGAUGCGAUGUUGCGGACAAAGAUAAAUGCCAUUUCAUCAAAAUUGACUUUUUCCUAAAUAAAAAAAAAAAAAAAACUGGCGACGCUUUUUUGUUUAUUAAAAAAAUGCUGCCGUUUAGGGCUGUGGGGAUGUCACCCCUUCUCUUAAAAUCCAUCCCCAACCCUAAGGCUGGGAGAGGAUUAUAAAUGCUCGCACAUCAGCAGAUUAAUGGCACCACAUAGAAGCGUUGAAUUGUAAAUGGUUUGCGAUUUGUUGUAGCGUCCGUUGUAGUAGUAUCCCAUGACGUUUUCAACUGCAGUCUAGUUGUAUUUACCAUGUUUUCUGUGCCGUAGUCAGCAGACUAUACGCAUUUAAAAGUCCAAACUCUAUGCAAUGCCAACUAUACAAGGAUUUAUUUUUUUCUACAAUGUUCGUUAUGACGAGACUGGCCAAAGUUUGUGAAUGACAAAGUAUAUGUUAGUGAUGAUUUACAUACUAUACAAGCUUUGUGAUCGAAUAAAGCAGGCAUUUGUCAAGGUGUACUGUGUAUAAACAUUUCUUACAGGUGGACUUUGAGGUAUACUGUCGGCCACCUUUUGGGGCCCAAGGCAUAGAGUGGGAAACAUGUCAACAAAAACGAAAUUUUCCAUAGAAACGACAUGUGCACAUACAUAAAAGCAAAGAUAACUUGUAUAUUUAUAUGUUCCCACAAAUAUUCAAGGUACACUUGUGAGAAAAUCGUGCAGAACCGUAGGGAAAAAGUAAAUAUAACAAAAGAAAUCGCACAAUUUAAAAGUUAUCAAGUGAACAGAGGGACCAAAAGACACCCCUUACCUCUAUACCCAGUAGCUUGACCUGUGAGAAGCCCACAAUGUUUCUCUUGCUUGGACUCUCAAGGCAAACUGUUUUUAUGCCAGAAAUUUUAUCAAGACUUAAAUUUUUUAAAAAAGCAAACCUCUGAGAGUGAUUUUCUGCCGUGUUUAAAGGUACGCCAGACAUAUCCGGAAAACUUCCUAAAGGUGCUACUAUGAACAGUGCGAGCGGGAAUCAGAAGCACGUUGCCUUCGAUAUGCUACGCAGCGCUACCUUGAGGCUGAUAAAACUGCGGGGUGGAGAUAGGGGCUGCGAGAAAGUGCGCAUAUUCUGAUGUGCACACUGUCGCAGUCCCCUUCUCCGCUCCGCAAUUUCAUCAGCCUCAGGGUGGUGCAGCAUAGCAUAUUGAAGGCAACGUGCUCCUACAUUCCCUCAAAUACUGUUCAUAUUAGUCUGUCAGACACAUGCAGCAUAGUUUAUAUAAUGAAUCCAAAGAGAAAAGCGUGACAUAUUCACAAGCGUUUCGGAUGCCUCGAAACGAUGGGGCAGAGGCAGGUAUAGGGGCUUUAAUAUCGGUAGCUGCUCAAUUGAGCGGUCUUUUUGCGAGGAAACACAGUCUGGCGUUGUAUAAAGGAAAAGUAAGGUCGACAAGUGAUUGCAG
rnacentral:misc_RNA from 1 species